GCUGGGUAGGAUGUCACACACCUGUAAUCCCAGCAACUCGGGAGGCUGAGGCAGGAGGAUCGCAAGUUCAAAGCUUCAGCAACUUUGUGAGACUCUGACUCAA
rnacentral:sRNA from 1 species